rnacentral:rRNA from 1 species
GUAAAUUAAAAUAUUAAAAUUUAUUUUUAAUGAAAUUUUAAUUAAAAUAAUAUUUGUUUUAUUAUAAAAAUGAAAAAUUUAAUUUUAUGAUAGAGAAUUAAGUACUGUAAAGGAAAUUUUUUUUAUGUUUAAAAGAAGUAAAUUUAUGUACCUUGUGCAUCAGGGUUUAUUAAAAAUUUAAUAAUUAUUUAUUUAUCUCGAAUUUAAAAGGGCUAAGUUUAUAUACAUAUUAUUGUUAUAAAAAUAUUUAAAAUAUAAAUUUAGUAAUGAAACGUUAUUCGUUUUUAAAUAUAUCUAGUUUUUUAAGAAAUAAAUUUAAUUUGAUUAAAAAGUUUUAAAAAUUUAAUUAUUAAUUUUUUUGAAUUUUUUAAUAGAUAAUUUUAGGGAUAAGCUUGAAAUUAAAUAAUUUAUAAUUAAAUUAAAAUUUAUAUAAUUUAUAGGAUUAAAAAUUUUUUCUUAUAAAAUUUUGUUAAAAUUUGUUAUAUAUACUUUAAUAUUUUUAUUUAAUUUAAAUUUUUUAUUAAAAUAAUUUGUAUUAUUAUAUAAUAGUUGAAAUUAUGAUAAAAUUAGUAUUAAUAUAUUAGUAUCUUGUAGACGAUAAAGAAAGGUUAUUUAAAGUAAUUCGGCAAAUCUAUCUUUCACCUGUUUAAUAAAAACAUCUCUUUUAGAAUUUAAUUUAAAGUAGGGCCUGCCCACUGAAUUUUUGAAGGGCCGCAGUAUUUUGACUGUGCAAAGGUAGCAUAAUCAUUAGUUUUUUAAUUGAAAGCUUGUAUGAAUGGUUUGAUGAGAAGAUAGCUUUCUAUAAAUAAUUGUAUAAAAAUUUUAUUUUUAAGUUAAAAAGCUUAAAUUUUGAUAAAAGACGAGAAGACCCUAUAGAGUUUAAUUUACAACAUAAAUUUAGUUUUUAGAAUUUUAAUAAUUUAGUUUUUGGAGUAAAUUUCAUUGGGGUGAUGGAAAAAUAAGAUUAACUUUUUUUAUUAAAUUACAUUAAUUUAUGAAUAUUUGAUCCAUAAAAAUGAUUAAAAGAAUAAAUUACCUUAGGGAUAACAGCGUAAUUUUUUUUAGAGUUCUUAUCGAAAAAAGAGAUUGCGACCUCGAUGUUGGAUUAAAGUUAAAAUUAGGUGUAGAAGCUUAGUUAUUUGGUCUGUUCGACCAUUUAAACUUUACAUGAUCUGAGUUUAAACCGGUGUGAGCCAGGUUGGUUUCUAUCUUUAUUAAAAAAUUAAAUUUUAGUACGAAAGGACCAAAUUUAAGAUUUAAAAUUUUAUAUUUGAAUAAAAUU